CGAAGUUUUCGUACUCCAUAGAUGGACGAAGCAGAUUUAAUGGCAUUUUCUCUAGCCAACUGUUUGUGCAAAAGUGUUCUAUUAAUCGACGUUCGGGCGUUCCUUACGACUCCCGCCAUUCGGAUGCUAAGUCAGGCUCGAACAUGGACUCAUUCGCUCCGGCUCUCCUGAUCGCGACAGGAUAAAUGAGAGGGGCGAAAAGAAGAAGGAGGAAAGCCCGAAUUCCCGUCUGCCCGAAGUUGAACUUGUUGCUAUCGAAGCGCAAGUCAUCAACAACAACGCAAGAUUGAUACCAACAACAACGACGCCACCAUAAGCCGGAUGGCGAUCGCUUCUGCUUUAGCUUUUGCCACCGUCGCCGGUUUUGGCUAUACUCCUGAACUUUCCCUACCUCGCCGCUUCAGUGCUCCGCAAACUUCAACGGCGGCCAAGGAGCUGGAAUAAGAGGCUGGCAUAAACGGCCGCUACGGGCAUGGACAGCUUACGGCGGCAGCACCGUUUGCCGAACGAGCGCGCACCUUUCAUCUAUCGGAAUCGCGUUCUAUUCACUCGUUCGCUCCUUGGCGGUGUCGUUGUCUCUGGUGCUGGUGCCGUGACGUUCUGUACGAUGCGGAGCCACGCGGCAGCUCUUGCGGCAGCUCCUCUCUGCUGCGCCCUGAUAGCCUGUUUGUCAGCCUGACUAUCUGAUUCUCUCCCUCUCUUUGGUAUCUAUCGUUGGCGCAACCGCUUCUGCUGUUGCUGUCCGUUGAACGGCGGAAGACGAACAAAGUCAGUGCGUGUCUCGACGCUGGCGACGGACGGAGGACCGUUGCUGCAGUUGUCCACCGUUUAAAUCUGCCUCUGAUGGUACAGUUUGGUCGGCAGAUUGCGGUCCGUAAUCGUCAGUGUAUUGUCGCUAUUGGCUAUGGAAGAGCGCUCUCUAUCCGGGAGCAGAGCGGAUCAGUAUUCGCGCUCUCAACGCUCAGCCUAAUUCUCUUUUUCCAUGGAUAGAGAAUACUAAAGGGAAAGCAGGGAAUUACUUAAUGGCAUGAGUGCAACAACGAACCAAAUAUUGGCAAAACGAUUAUGGGCCGUGUUAUCGUUGAGUAAGGCUAUUGUUAUCAUUAUUACUUCGAUUAUGUUAGGGUGUAUAUAGGGAGAAGUUUAUGAGGUGUGAAUUGCCUCACGCGAAAUAUUAGGACAAAACGCUAGAAUCGCAGGUGCCGGUGUCUGAGCUGUGGUGUAUGCGUGUGUGAGGACGACGUCCUGCGUGUGUGUAUGCGUGUAUCUGGGCGUAUGUAUGUGUAUGUGCUGAAGGAUUUGCGUUGGAAGAUACCGUCGAAAACAUAAACGGUGCACGCACCGUAUUUUAUGGCGAACUUAACGAUUAGAAACUAUCAGUUUCUCGAUUCAUGCACCUCUCGCCGACGAUCGUACGCUGAAUAACGUGCAACGAUGUUUGUUGUUGAGAGAAGUAUGAAUGCGCGCUCGGAAAUGUUACAGGCUUGAAUUGGCCUUUAUAUUUAGAUAACCGAUGUUUAUCGUUGAUAGCGAACUAAAAAAAGGUGGUUGGUGCAAAGUGUGAGCUGCACUCUGUUGGCGAAAGCAAGAAAACAAAUCUGAAUCGUCGGAUAAACUUGCCAAAGGCGGAUUGUUACAUGGAUACGCGGUUUAAAUCAUUGGAUAAUGACAAUUGUGCAGUUUCAAUAAAACAAACUAAGGAUACUAAUAAACAUCAGGAGACGACGGAAACAACAAUUCUGCUUUUCACCACCUUUCGCUCCACAAGAACGAAGACAGCCAUUACGACGAGAAGAUAAUGGCAACGGUGAAAACAUCGAUCAUUAUUUGAGAAUGAGAAAAGACCAUUGUUUUACAAUUUACAACUCCAAAUAGUACAUGUCGUAGUGAAAGCAGCAGCAGCAGCAGCAGCAAUAGCUAUAAGAUGGUUGGCCGACGCGUGAGUUCAUCGAUGCUAGCGAUCUUCAUCAUUAAAUGAAGCGAUUGAAAAAAAUGAAUCAGAGGAAUUAGGUAAUGAAGGUUUGGCGGUUAGCGGCAGGAAGCAUGGGAAAGCUAGACGCUUUUCAUAGAAUUAUAUAUUGGUAUACAUAUAUAUACAUCUAUCAUAUCUCUAUUCAUUUCGUUGCUCUGCCUGCAGUACAAGCAAAUUAUGUCCUGUACAUCAGAUGGCUCCUGCUCGUUGUAUGAUCGUAUCAGCAACAGCUUUUUGUAAGUUCACUAAUAAAGCGUUGUACAACAGAUGAACGAGACAUAAAUUCGAGCUCAACAAUUACAGAUUUCGUCGACCAAAUCUGAAUUUCAGACACUGUAAAUACUUACAAAAUUGUAAAUACGUCUUUAUUUUAGUGUUAAGUUUUUACCCUGCAUAGGCAUAGUUAGGAGCCACAAUGACUCAAUCUAUUUCGACUGCGUUUAUAUAUGCACAGUCUAUUAACUGGCAUCGCUUAUUUUUAACUUAUAUAUAUAUAAUGUAUAGUCUCACAAGAGCCAUGUGCUGGUCCCAACAUAUUUAUGGCUGCUACACCACUG